rnacentral:rRNA from 1 species
UACGGAGGGUGCAAGCGUUAUCCGGAUUUACUGGGUUUAAAGGGUGCGUAGGUGGGUAGGUAAGUCAGUGGUGAAAUCUUCGAGCUUAACUCGGAAACUGCCAUUGAUACUAUUUAUCUUGAGUACUCUGGAGGUAAGCGGAAUAUGUCAUGUAGCGGUGAAAUGCUUAGAUAUGACAUAGAACACCAAUUGCGAAGGCAGCUUACUACAUAGUUAUUGACACUGAGGCACGAAAGCGUGGGGAUCAAACAGG